rnacentral:rRNA from 1 species
CUCGUAGGCGGUUCGUCGCGUCCGGUGUGAAAGUCCAUCGCUUAACGGUGGAUCCGCGCCGGGUACGGGCGGGCUUGAGUGCGGUAGGGGAGACUGGAAUUCCCGGUGUAACGGUGGAAUGUGUAGAUAUAUGGAAGAACACCAGUGGCGAAGGCGGCUUACUGGACAACAACUGACGUUGAGGCUCGAAAGUGUGGGUAGCAAACA